rnacentral:lncRNA from 10 species
UGAGAAUCCUCUUUGGAAAGCCUGAAGUGUGGCACCGAGCAAAGAAAAGGAAACUUGGGUCAAGGGUUCUUAGCUGGCAAGUGGCCCCACACUUAACUCAUCUCCUGUACCACCUCCCUCAGCCCUCAUCAGGUUAUGACAAGGGGGGGUGAGCUUGGGUAGAAGGGGAAGGAGGCCUAAAAUCCAGGACUUAGAGAGGAGAGAGGCAGUCUCAAGUGUGGGAAAAGCACUUGCUAACAGGAAGUCUCCCCACUCCACCCGCAGGUAAACAGUGUAACCACCACUCAUUGGUCCAUUCAAUGUGAGCAUCUGCCCCAUGCAGGUCUUAUGAAUCAAGGCUCAGAGAUGACACCAUCCCUAUCCAUAGGCAGCUGAAGUGAUGAGAGGGGACAGACACUUUGCAACACAAGUACUCUGGAGACAGCAUAAUGCGUGCCAGAUCCAGGAGCACAGGGAACUUGGAGAGUGCAGCGGAGGGGCAGCCAAUGCAGCUUGAGUCGUGGAGGGGUCAGCAAGGCUCCCUGGAGGGGUCUGAAAGACAGAAUAGAAAUAAGUGAGGCAAGAGGGAUGACGGGUGUAGGGGAGGGCUUUCAGGCAGAGGGGACAAAUGAGCAAGGCCCCGGGGGGCCUAAGGCAUGUGAGGGCUGCUAAGAAAGGUGGGUGCGGUAGGCAGAGGCAAG